rnacentral:rRNA from 1 species
AUUGAACGCUAGCGGCAUGCCUUACACAUGCAAGUCGAACGGAAUGGCGGACGGGUGAGUAAUGUAUCGGAAUGUGCCCAGUAGCGGGGGAUAACUACCCGAAAGCGUCGCUAAUACCGCAUACUAUCGGAGCAGCCUAUAUCGGAUGAGCUAGUUGGUGGGGUAACGGCCCACCAAGGCGACGAUCCGUAGCUGGUGUGAGAGGACGAACAGCCAAACUGGGACUGAGACACGGCCCAGACUCCUACGGGAGGCAGCAGUGGGGAAUAUUGGACAAUGGGGGAAAGCCUGAUGCAGCCAUGCGGCGUGUGCGAAGAAGGCCUUCGGGUUGUAAAGCACUUUUAGCAGGAAAGCGGUACCUGCAGAAUAAGCACCGGCUAACUACGUGCCAGCAGCCGCGGUAAUUC